AUGCCGCCGCGGCCGUCCCUCCAGUCGCUGCUCCUCAUGGCCGCCUCCACCUCCGCGGGCGCCGGGGGCUCGGGCCUCCUCGCCGCGCGCCGCCGCUUCCCCGCCGCCUUCGCGGCCGCGGGGGGCCACCGCGUCCGCCUGCUCCACUCCUUCCCCGCCCGGACCCGCCUCCCCCGGCGGCCCGAGCUCGCCUGCUGCUUCGGGACCGCCCCCGCCGAGGCCGUGCCCGCCGCCGCCCCCGCGGUCCCGCGCUCCAGGAAUGUUCGUUCGAUGGAGGAGAGAAGGGCUUGUGAAGAACGGCUAGGGCAGGUAGUUGAGAAGAUGAAAAAGGAAGGGAUAGAUAUGAGCCAAUGGAGGCUUGGCACUUUUCAAAGGACGAUUUGCCCACAGUGCAAAGGGGGCUCAACCGAGGAACGAAGCCUCAGCGUCUUCAUCCGGGAAGAUGGUACACAUGGAAACUGGACUUGUUUUAGAGCAAAUUGUGGAUGGAAAGGCUAUACCCAGCCUGAUGGAGUUUCGAAGGCGUACCAAGCAAAGAAGGACCCGGGAAAUGAAAAUGAAAGUGACCAGGAAGUUAAAGCAAAUCAGCCAGCCAAGGUUAUCAGAAAACUUCGUGAAGAGGACCUGCGUCUCGAGCCUCUUUGUGAUGAGCUCGUGACAUACUUUUCAGAAAGAAUGAUAUCAGCAAAAACACUUCGAAGGAACAACGUAUCGCAACGUAAAAGGAAUAACAAGAUUGUUAUUGCUUUUACAUAUAGACGUGAUAAAGUCCUUGUUGGCUGCAAAUACAGGGAAGUCUCUAAGAAAUUUUCACAGGAGGCGAACACAGAGAAAAUUUUGUAUGGUCUGGAUGACAUAAAGCAAGCACGCGAUAUUAUCAUUGUUGAGGGUGAAAUUGAUAAACUUUCCAUGGAGGAGGCUGGCUAUCGUAAUUGUGUGAGUGUGCCAGAUGGUGCACCAGCGCAAGUAUCAAACAAACUCCCGGACAAAGAUCAUGAUAAGAAGUAUUCAUAUCUGUGGAACUGCAAAGAGUAUCUUGACCCGGCAUCUAGGAUAAUACUGGCAACGGAUGCUGAUCCUCCAGGGCAGGCUCUUGCUGAGGAACUUGCUCGACGUCUUGGUAAAGAAAGGUGUUGGAGGGUCAAAUGGCCAAAGAAGAAUGAGACAGAAUUUUGCAAAGAUGCUAACGAGGUACUUAUGUUCUUAGGACCACAAGCAUUGAAAGAAGUUAUAGAAGGUGCAGAACUGUAUCCUAUAAGAGGUCUAUUCAACUUCAAAGAUUUCUUCCCUGAGAUCGAUAGUUAUUAUCUAGGAAUUCAUGGGGAUGAGCUUGGAAUUCCUACUGGUUGGAAAUGUAUGGAUGGGCUCUACAAGGUUGUUCCUGGGGAAUUGACCAUAGUAACAGGAGUACCAAAUUCCGGCAAAAGUGAGUGGAUCGAUGCAUUACUGUGUAAUAUAAACAAUCAGUGUGGGUGGAAAUUUGUACUAUGCUCGAUGGAAAACAAGGUCAGGGACCAUGCCCGGAAACUAUUGGAGAAGCACAUUAAGAAACCUUUCUUUGAUGCUAGAUAUGGGGGCUCUGUGGAACGGAUGAGUCAAGAUGAAUUUGAAGAAGGCAAAGAAUGGUUGAAUGAGUCAUUCCAUCUGAUUAGGUGUGAAGAUGAUUGCCUUCCAUCCAUCGAUUGGGUUCUUAAUCUUGCUAAAGCUGCAGUUCUAAGACAUGGAGUACGUGGUCUUGUGAUUGAUCCUUAUAAUGAGCUUGACCAUCAGCGCCCCUCAAAUCAAACCGAGACAGAAUAUGUCAGCCAGAUCCUUACGAAGAUUAAGCGUUUUGCUCAACAUCAUUCAUGUCACGUAUGGUUUGUUGCGCACCCUAGGCAGCUUCACAACUGGACUGGCGCACCGCCUAAUAUGUACGACAUCAGUGGAAGUGCGCAUUUCAUAAACAAAUGUGAUAAUGGUAUCGUCAUACACCGAAACAGGGAUCCAGAUGCUGGCCCUGUGGAUGUCGUGCAGGUCUGUAUGAAGAAGGUUCGGAACAAAGUGAUUGGGCAAAUAGGGGAUGCUUUCUUGACCUAUGACCGGGUUACUGGUGAAUACAAGGAAGCCGAUGAGGCCAUUGUAGCAAAGGUGGUGAAGCAGCAGAUUCGUCAGAAAUCGACAAGUUACCAGCGCUGA
rnacentral:rRNA from 1 species